AACGAACGCUGGCGGCAGGCCUAACACAUGCAAGUCGAGCGGCCGUAGCGAUACGGCAGCGGCGCACGGGUGAGUAACGCGUGGGAACCUGCCCUUUGGUUCGGAACAACCCUGGGAAACUAGGGAUGAUACCGGUUGAUGCUUUGCGAGGAGGGACAGCUUUAUACCCGAAGGGGGGGCCCGCGGCCGAUUGGCUAGUUGGUGGGGUGAUGGCCUACCAAGGCGACGAUCGGUAGCUGUACUGAGAGGACGACCAGCCACACUGGGACUGAGACACGGCCCAGACACCUACGGGAGGCAGCAGUGGGGAAUAUUGGACAAUGGGCGCAAGCCUGAUCCAGCCAUGCCGCGUGGGUGAUGAAGGCCUUCGGGUUGUAAAGCCCUUUUGGCGGGGACGAAGAUGACGGUACCCGCAGAAUAAGCCCCGGCUAACUUCGUGCCAGCCGCCGCGGUAACAC
rnacentral:rRNA from 1 species